UGGCGACCGGCGCACGGGUGAGUAACACGUAUCCAACCUGCCGAUGACUCGGGGAUAGCCUCUCGAAAGAAAGAUUAAUACCCGAUGGCAUAGUUCUUCCGCAUGGUGGAACUAUUAAAGAAUUUCGGUCAUCGAUGGGGAUGCGUUCCAUUAGGUUGUUGGCGGGGUAACGGCCCACCAAGCCUUCGAUGGAUAGGGGUUCUGAGAGGAAGGUCCCCCACAUUGGAACUGAGACACGGUCCAAACUCCUACGGGAGGCAGCAUG
rnacentral:rRNA from 1 species